CCCAGUUCUCCAACCCCAUAAAGUUAGAAUGCAGUCUGUGAGUACUCUCUGCUCUAAUCAAGAAGGAAGGGGCUUCAGCUUCAAAUGUCAAUGCUGUAAACAUGUUAAAUCUGGAAAAUAUUUUCUAAGCAAGCAACCAUGUGUAAAAUUUACCGAACUUGUCAUGAAAGGGCUGCAGCUGCAAACCUGCAAACUUCUCACUUCCAUGAAGACUCCAGAUGCUGAGACAGGGAAGAGAGGUUUCAGCUUGGCUCCCCAGCUGUUGCACCUUAGAGCUUUGCAUGCCGCCAUCUUCUCAGCGUUUCACCAGUGGAAAAUGAAGGCAUUCGAUGGCAUAGAGGCCUGUGUUUGGACUCAGAUAGCUUGGGUUCAAAUCCGAGCUCAGCCACCUAUUAAAAGAAUGACUUUGUACAAGUCACUGCCCUCAAAGAAAGUUCAACUAUAAAUUUGGGAGAGUGGAGAUGACUAUAUGGAUCGUGUCCUCAAAGACCUCUGAGGCCACCUUGGGAAGUUAAGUCUUCUGGAAAAACAUCACAUGAUUCACCUUCACCUACCUAAGUUUCCAUGAAGACAGUCCUCUUAUAAGAAAAUUA
rnacentral:lncRNA from 10 species